rnacentral:rRNA from 1 species
GAUGAACGCUAGCUACAGGCUUAACACAUGCAAGUCGAGGGGCAGCAUGGGAGUUGCUUGCAAUUCCUGAUGGCGACCGGCGCACGGGUGAGUAACGCGUAUCCAACCUUCCCCUCAGUAGGGCAUAGCCCGUAGAAAUGCGGAUUAAUACCCUAUGCGGUCCGAUGAGGACAUCUGAGCUGGACGAAAGGUUUACCGCUGAGGGAUGGGGAUGCGUCUGAUUAGGUAGUCGGCGGGGUAACGGCCCACCGAGCCAUCGAUCAGUAGGGGUUCUGAGAGGAAGGUCCCCCACACUGGUACUGAGACACGGACCAGACUCCUACGGGAGGCAGCAGUGAGGAAUAUUGGUCAAUGGGCGAGAGCCUGAACCAGCCAAGUAGCGUGCAGGAUGACGGCCCUACGGGUUGUAAACUGCUUUUAUGCGGGGAUAAAGUGAGGGACUUGUCCCUUUUUGCAGGUACCGCAUGAAUAAGGACCGGCUAAUUCCGUGCCAGCCGCCGCCG